AGGACAUCGACGCGUGCGGAUGUGCUGGCUGUCGCGUAGCCGUUGUUAGAGACAUCUUUUCGCGCUGGAAACGCACGGGUGAACGAAAAGCAAAACAAAAAAAAGAAAACUGUGCAGUGAAAUUACCAAAGUGUCGAACGAAUAUUGAUAUAAAUUCCAUCUCGCUCGUGCUCCCGGUAUGAUUGAUUGACGUUGCAAGGAAUAGCGGUGCCUUGUGGUGUUGAAAAUUGAUCACCUACCGAAGAAAGUGAAGCAAAAUUAGAAAAAAAAGGUAGAGGAGUGAACAAAAUGAUACGCUGCGACGUGUUCGGCGUUCGUGAGUGAGUUAAAAAUUCGUGCCAGGCAAAGCCGGGAAGGAGUAGCAUUCCGUUUGCAGUUGAAAACCCGCUUGGAACUGAAGCAAACCAAGGAUCGGAGCGAACAGCUCAUUUCAGGGCCUUACCGGCUGCUCAUCACCGUGGCAGUGGAUUGUGCCGGUGGUUGAGUUUCAAUCAUCCUGCCUGGACAAAAGAAGACCCUGUGUGGCUCGGGGAGCCCAGGACGGCAAGGGCACGUACAGCGUUGGUAUCGGAAUACCGGCGUCACACACAAAAGCAGCGCGCACACGCAGCGUUUGAUCCGAGGGAAACGUCUUAAUCCGGCUGCUGGGAGUGUGAAGAACCGAUCAAGCUGACCGAGAAAGGGAGCCGGAAAGCCACGUGAAGCUAGGAAAAAAAAACACCAUUUGAUUGAGGGCACGAGCGAAAACGAGUCGUGCGAGUCUAUGAAAUACCUGGUCGACGAACGACGAAAGCAAAAAAAAAAAAGAAGCACCGCUUUUCAUCUAUCCCGUGUAAUG